UACGGAGGGUGCAAGCGUUAAUCGGAAUUACUGGGCGUAAAGCGCACGCAGGCGGUCUGUCAAGUCGGAUGUGAAAUCCCCGGGCUCAACCUGGGAACUGCAUUCGAAACUGGCAGGCUAGAGUCUUGUAGAGGGGGGUAGAAUUCCAGGUGUAGCGGUGAAAUGUGUAGAGAUCUGGAGGAAUACCGGUGGCGAAGGCGGCCCCCUGGACAAAGACUGACGCUCAGGUGCGAAAGCGUGGGGAGCAAACAGG
rnacentral:rRNA from 1 species